CGGAGCGUAGCGCAGCCCGGUAGCGCACUACUCUGGGGGGGUAGGGGUCCGGGUUCGAAUCCCCGCGCUCCGACCA
rnacentral:tRNA from 1 species